UAGUCCAGUGGUUAGGACUCGGCACUUUUACUGCCUUGGCCAGGAUUCAAUCCCUG
rnacentral:tRNA from 1 species